GGGCCGUUAGCUCAGCGGCAGAGCGUCCGCCUUACACGCGGCAGGUCGGGGGUUCAAAUCCCUCACGGCCCA
rnacentral:tRNA from 1 species